GCUAAACUUUAGGGGUGCCCAUUGACUUGGGCUGAGACAUACCCUUUGAACCUGACCAGGUUAGGACCUGCGUAGGGAAAAGUGAGGAUCUUACA
rnacentral:ncRNA from 1 species